rnacentral:rRNA from 1 species
CUGGGGAGUACGACCGCAAGGUUGAAACUCAAAGGAAUUGACGGGGGCCCGCACAAGCGGAAGAACAUGUGGUUUAAUUCGAUGAUACGCGAGGAACCUUACCCGGGCUCGAACGGUGCAUGAAUGUCAGAGAGAUUUGACAGUCCUUCGGGACAUGUAUCGAGGUGCUGCAUGGUUGUCGUCAGCUCGUGCCGUGAGGUGUCGGCUUAAGUGCCAUAACGAGCGCAACCCUUGUUGACAGUUACCAUCAGGUAAAGCUGGGGACUCUGUCGAGACUGCCACCGUAAGGUGUGAGGAAGGUGGGGAUGACGUCAAAUCAGCACGGCCCUUAUGUCCGGGGCGACACACGUGUUACAAUGGGAGGUACAGAGGGCAGCUAUCCAGUGAUGGAGUGCAAAUCUCAAAAACCUUUCUCAGUUCGGAUUGGAGUCUGCAACUCGACUCCAUGAAGUUGGAUUCGCUAGUAAUCGCGCAUCAGCCAUGGCGCGGUGAAUACGUUCCCGGGCCUUGUACACACCGCCCGUCAAGCCAUGGAAGCUUGGGGUGCUUGAAGUUCGUGAC